rnacentral:rRNA from 1 species
UGGGGAAUCUUGCACAAUGGGGGAAACCCUGAUGCAGCGACGCCGCGUGAGCGAUGAAGGUUUUCGAAUCGUAAAGCUCUGUCCUAUGGGAAGAUAAUGACGGUACCAUGGGAGGAAGCACCGGCUAACUACGUGCCAGCAGCCGCGGCAAUACGUCGGGGGGGAGCGUUGUUCGGAAUUACUGGGCGUAAAGGGUUCGCAGGGGGCAUGGCAAGUACGAUGUAAAAGGCGAGGGCUCAACCUUCGUAAGCAUCGGAAACUGUCAAGCAUGAGGGAAGGAGAGGCAAGUGGAAUUCCUAGUGUAGCGGUGGAAUGCGUAGAUAUUAGGAGGAAUACCGGUGGCGAAGGCGACUUGCUGGACUUCAACUGACGCUGAGGAACGAAAGCGUGGGUAGCAAACAGG